rnacentral:rRNA from 1 species
UAAGGAAUAUUGGUCAAUGGACGCAAGUCUGAACCAGCCAUGACGCGUGAAGGAUGAAGGUCCUCUGGAUUGUAAACUUCUUUUAUCUGGGACGAAAACGGGAUUUUUAUCUCAAUUGACGGUACCAGAGGAAUAAGCACCGGCUAACUCCGUGCCAGCAGCCGCGGUAAUACGGAGGGUGCGAGCGUUAUCCGGAUUUACUGGGUUUAAAGGGUGCGUAGGUGGGCUUAUAAGUCAGUGGUGAAAUCUCCGAGCUUAACUUGGAAACUGCCGUUGAUACUAUAGGUCUUGAAUUAUCUGGAUGUCAGCGGAAUAUGUCAUGUAGCGGUGAAAUGCAUAGAUAUGACAUAGAACACCGAUUGCGGAGGCAGCUUGCUACGCAAAUAUUGACGCUGAGG